ensembl:lncRNA LOC120102487 uncharacterized LOC120102487
CUGUGUUUCCAGAGAGGUCAACUGAACAUGGAAGAUGUACUCUGAUUUCAGGGCUCAUGUUAGAGGGAGAGGAGAGGUUUGGUCACCUUGGAAUCUGGAACAGGCAGCUGGCCCCACAGCUGGUCAGGCAGCUAUGCAAGUGGGGAGCCUCUCUGAAAGCAAAAUUUAGAAGCCAGGAUAAAUGGGUCAGGUGGAAAACAGAUGACCACAACGACAAGCACUACUGAAGUGACACCUCUACUAUCUGUUCUGCCUCAAGGCCUGCUCAGCAAUGGUGCUCAUUUGACGGCCUCUCCGUCCUUCACAUGAUGACUUACUUCCCAACAUGGCCUCCCGGCUCCCGUCUGACUCUUGCCAGCAUUCUGGUGUGGCCACUGGCUUACAGUUACCACUUUCAGGACACAAAAGCAUGUCUCUUAUCUGCCAGGAGCUACUGAUCCCAAGAGACCUAGAUGUGUCCAGCUUCAAGCCUCCUCUCUUCUGCAGCCAGCCUGCAGGAGGCUACACGACGACCAAUGAUGCCGUGCCUCCUUAGGAAAUGCUUUCACUUUAGACACAUCUACUCCGAGUUCAGUAAUAAAG